GUUAGUCUUUUAUUGCCGGCUGGCUCUGUGGCAGGUUCCCAUAGACACCUACAGCCCUCAGCGAGGGGGCGGUGACCCCCUUGAUGACGUCACUCAGGCGCCUGCAGCAAUGGAAGGUCCCGCGCCGGGUCGGGCAGGUGUGCGAUUUGGAACUGGAGGGAACCGCUCUGUCCGAGCCCGGCCGGGUACCCGGAGGGGAAGGACGGACUACGCUUCCCGACGCCCCGUGCGGCGGACGACCCCGGGCGAGUCCUGCCGCCGUGGCGCGGCCUUCGCGACAGCGGCCGCUCCUUCCUGCGGGACCGUCGUUCUUCCCGGCAGCUGGCCGCGCUUGCGGCGGUCGGUCGGUCGGUCUCUCUGCCAGGCCCUCCCUGCGGCCCGAAGCCCUGGCUGGGGCGCAGCCGGUGACCCCGGUCACGGACGGUAGCAGGCCGCUCCCAAAUCUCAAGUGUAUACCCCUUGAGAGGGAAAAAACAAAACUCCUCCCCCUGGGUUUUGUUCCUGGGUAACAUUCCUGGGUAAAUUCGGGCCCUGAUCCUCGGCUUGGACCGAAGGUCUUCACCUUAUCCCCCGGCAGCAGAAUUCUCUUCUUAACGAUCCCAGCUCGUUGCCGUAUCACUGGCUGGCUCAGAAACUUCCCGCGGCUUCCCAACGUCCAAAUUCUUAGCAUUCGAUACGAGCAUUGUACGUGCUACCUAGACACCCAGACUUCACCGGCUUUUUCCAAAAUGUUCAGUACGGACACUGCGACGGGAAACGGCCCUCCCCAGAGAGCAGUCUGGUUCCUCUACAAAUACCGCACCCCUGCCCCUUCUUACACAAUCCGUGGCUGCCACUUGCUGUGGAGCAAGGGACCAGGGCUCCGGACCUGACAGCCAGAUUUCCUGUCGUUGACACCUAAGGCGGUCCAGUACCUGACGGAUCCAUUUACCCCUGAGCGGAAAACAAGACCAGGGUUUACGGGGAAAGGAGAUGAGCAGCAGCGCAGCGGGAAGCAGAUGUACCUCGGAAGACCGUCGUGUGACCCAGUAGAGAAAGGGGAGAGCAGACCAUGUCUGCGUCCUGGUGACUUUCCAUCUCUGGCUUCUGAUCCAGACAAACGUGUCUUAACAGUAACUUCCCUUUUAUUUAAAGUUUCCCAAAUGAGUGUUUUUUCCCAGUUAUUUGAGUGGAGGAGGCACCAGCUUACCCUCCAGCCUUAUCUCCCUCUACGUUGCCCUCCACACCCACAGCGCACCUGCUGUUGCUGGAACUCAGAACUCUCACUGCUGCCCUUCUGCCUUUGUCUUUCGGCCCGUUUCUUCCCCUUGCCUGGAACACCUUCCUGCCAGGUCUACUGGUUGUCAUCUACCAGCCACACCUGUCUCAUUGUUGUCAUGGAAAAAAGCCAGCAAACGUCUACACUACAGAAAGUGGCGAACAGUGAACUUGGAACCACAUGCCUGCCUUUAAAUUGUCAAACACAAAUGGCCUUUGGAACCACAUUUACGGUUCUAUUUGUGUGGCAUUCUCAGUGGAAGGCACUUUUCAGGGAGCAUCUGCCCCCUCACAGUCCAUCACGCAUGGUCCUAAGCUCUCUUUGCUCUGGUGUCACUGUCCUGGGUUACGGCAGUGACUUGUCCCCACGGGCCACUACUCGGCCCUGGGCCCUCGCUUAGAGCCCAGCUCCCACCCUCGAAGUGAUGCAGAGUUGGGGGGAAACGCGGCCGCUUCCUGGAAGAUGGAGCUCGCUCAGAAAGCCGAAGAAUCCAUUUUUCAAGACAAGCAUCAUUGGGAGGACAAUGCAGAACCCAUGUGAGUGUUAAUGAUGAAGCAUGACUUUAAAGGACUUUCACGGUUGUAUAAUCCUUUCCACGGGAGUUCAGGCUCACUCCCCUCGUGGGGUGUUCCGUGAACACCAGGCAGCAGUAAACCGCUUGUCCCGAGUCGCUUCUGGGAUUUGCAGAGGGAGGUUGGGGUCUCGGGGGCAAGGGAAAGAGGCUUCCCUCAGGGAGGGCUGGUGGGCAGGGUGCGACCCACCCACCCCAAAGGAGAGGGAGGGAAGGAGGGAGGGGGCUGUGGGAUGGCCCACCCCAAGCCAGGCACGUGCCCUGGUGUCAUUCCAAGGGGACCCACUCCUGAGGCUGUGGGAGGUGGGGCGCGCGGGGAGUGAGCCGCACUUUUGCGGGCGGGGGACAAAAGGUGAGGGUUUUCUGCCCACUGGAUAUCGUGGGCCUGUUGGUGGAAGCCGCCGGGGACCCAGAGGGCGGCCCGAGGGAGGCAAGCUGCCUGGCAGGUGUUCCCGAUGCCACGGCCAAGGCAGAGUGGAAGCAGGCAGCCGGACGCCCAACGUGGCUCCUCAGCCACCGUCAGAAGCACUGCCGCUGGGAAGGGUCCGCUUGGGCCCCCUCCUGGGUCUUGUACCAGCCGCAGACCAGGCAGGGCAGUGGCUCAACAGCGUCAGGUUUUCCGAGGCAUUCGAGAACUCCCCGGCCCCCCCGGCCCCUGGCGUGCAACUACCUUCUCCCGGUUGACUGUCAGCAGCUGGGGCCUGGCCCAGAAGACCCUCUGUGCUCCUCACUUGCCCCCCCAGGGGGCAGAGAGGAGCCGCCCCAGGGCACUGAGGGGUAGGGAGCUCCCGCCUCCCAGCCCCACCCCUCCCCUGCUACCCGCCCUGCGGUACUGGGACCCUUGAGCCGGGCCUGCUGGGGACCCGCAGACUCUGCCCAGAGGCUGCUCCGCAGCGAUGGGAGGAGGGAGAAGGGCCUGGGCCUCCCUUUUCGUACUGGCGGAUUCCAGGCCCUGCCAGCGUCUCUGCCUCGCUUUGCCCUGGGCCACAUCCGAGUCCUCGGAGAGUCCCUUCCCAGCCCCACAGGGCCCCUCCUCCCACGUCCGAACCUGAGCUCCAGGGGACGUCCUCCAGGCGUCCCUUCUUGCAGGUUCUGUCCUUUGCCCGAGGUCACCUGCAGCCUGCGGGGUGGCAGGUGCCUCUGGCAGCACCGAGGUCCCCGUCCUGAAAGGAGGCGACUCCCCCCCAACAGCCUGCUUGUCCACGUCACACUCUGACCCCAAGCUGAGCAGCCUGUGAACCCAAGUCACCGCAGAACCAACCACGAGGGACCGUAACUUCUCCUCCGCCUGGAGGGCCCAGGCCCUGGCUGCAGCAGAGAAAAAGCCCGCCAGGCCUCCCCCAACCCUAACCCCUCCCCCUUCCCCACCCCGCCAGGCCUCCCCCUCCCCCAGCCUCCCUGGGGCAUCCCAGCACAGGCUGGAGCUCAGCCGGUGGGAGAAGUCAAGCCCAAGACAGGAGGUGAGCGGCCAGCAAGCUGUGCUGGGCUUCGUGUGGACGGAGACGCCUGCGAGGCCACGGGCCCAACACGGGGUCCAGGGUACCAGGGGCCCCAGACAGCCCGCGCUGUGGGGACCGGCGACAGAGAGCUCGGUCAGUGGAGUGGCUUCGCGGUGGCUCUGCCCAGGGUUGUUCUUGCCCACCUGCUGCACUUGUGCGGACCCUGCGGUCACCGCCCUCCCUCCUCUGCCCCCCCCCUCCCCCCCGGCCGUGCCUCGAAGGGGGCUCCAGGCACCUGGCUGCGAGGCCGGCCUGCACAGGACGCCCCUCUGGGCCGCCACUGAGGGGCGGUGCCUGGCGUCCCGGUGGCGGCUCCUCCCCUGGGAGUCUCCUUAGUGCUGCCGUGCAGGCCCGGUGGCUCGUCCCCUUGUCUGAUUUGGCUGUCCUCCCCGCUCGGCCCCCUCGCCUCCCCACACGGCCGAUCACCUGCGGCCCUGCUGGUGCCACGUCCCCGCCGUCCAGCUCCCCUCCAUGGCCGCCACUACCAUCCGGGGACCGGCAGCCCCUGGACGGCCCGGGAGCCCCCCACAGCCAGCUCCCGCCCUUCGCCACCAGCCGAGAUCGGUGUCCAGCUGUCCAUGAGGACGACACCGCCGACAGGAGAGAGGCAGACAGGCUCUGGAUCGAUGCACCGUCUCCCUCUCCACCAGAAACAGGAUUUGGACUCCCCUCCACCGUCGCCAAGGCUCCCCGGGCUCCGGUCCGGGCCACGCUUCGUGCCACGUGACCCCACAGUCCUCCGGAUCUGGCCGGCCCUCUGCCUCACCCGGUCUCAGCCCAGAUGUUACCUGCUCAGACCUUCCAGGCCCCUGUCCCCCCCUCCCCCCCGGCUCCUGCGUUUUCCUUUCCCACAGUAGCCCUGUUCUCCCAGGAGGAAGAUGAAUGUGAGAUGUGAAGGGGCCUCGCUGUGUCCACGCCAGACCUCAUUCGCUGUCCUCCCUGGACUGGGGGCGGAGGGGCAGCCGCCUCCCCAGCCCCUCUCCGCCUCCCCCAGCUCUUCUCCGUCUUACACGCUUCCUGCAAACGUACCUUAACAGGGGCCUCUUCCCUGCUCACCUCCACGUGCCCUGAGACCAGACCCAGAGACCACGCUUCGUCCACCUUCUGUCUUCCCUUCCCCGGCACUCGUUCAUCACACGGCAAACGUCGCCGGAUGACCGCGUGCGCCAGGCACAUGGCGCCUUGGGGAGGGGAGGCCGGACACGGCCCUGCCCUCGGGCCGCUCGCUCCCUGGCUUCCUGCGCAGCCCCUUUGUCUGCCUGGACCCUCCUCAGCGACUCGCUCCUUCCAGGCGCCCGCACCGCAGGCCCAGCCAGCUUCCAGCACCUUCCAGCGCCAAGACCUGCUACGCGAUUUGCGUGGCCCAGUGCAAGAUGAAAACGCCAGGCCCUGUGUUCAAACUUACUGAGGCUUUGAAGGCACCGACAGCAAAGCGCCCUUCGUGAUUCCAGUUACACAGGAGCUCUCCUGCCUGCCCACGCUGGAUGUCUGUCCUCUCUCCUGGGGCCAUGGACAUAAGACCCAAGGGAGCCCUGGGAUACCUGCCGAGUGACCCCAAGAGGAGCCUGAGAGUGGAAUGUUCCUAAGAGGGAACGUUGGGGGAAAGGCGGCUUUGGGAGCAGCUGACCUCACAGGAUUUCUAGGCAGAUGGAGUGACCACGUGUGACCUGGGGGACAAUGGACUCGAUAUCAAGGGGGUCAGACCUAGAGGGUGGGGGAUUCUGGGCAAACACUUAGCAGGACUCUUGAGGACAAUGCAGAGAUGAGCAUGGAAGCCCAGAAGGCGGGGCCUGGCCGAGCAGAGGGUCAGAGCCUGGCCAACGCUGGGUCAGGAGAGACUGUCGCGAUGGGAGGCAGCUACUGACACGGGGCUCUGGUCCCCACCACAGCACACCUGCCACCAGGCCUCCUCCGGGAUGCCUCCUUGAGGAGGGCUCUCACUGCCAGAGAAAACGGACCUGCGCCAGAGUGAGAGCCGAGGCCUGGUGACGGGGCUCCGCUCCGAGGAGGUCCCCCAGGGCGUUUCCACAUCAGACACCUGGUAAAGAAUCUCCCAGCCUUACCACCUCGGGGCUGAGAGGGUGGGUCCCUGCAUUGGGGUGACAGGAGCAAGGCGGGCGUCACAGGGAUCCCUGCUCACCGAUGCCCUCGCUAAGGCUGUCCGCUGCCUUAGUACCUGCCUGCUGGUUUAGAACUGAUCCCCUGGUCCUUCUAGGUAAGUCUGAAGGAGGGGGUCUCUAAGGGGCGCUGUCCAGGGAAGGCUGCGCUCCUUCAAGGACGGACUCCCUCGUGGGAGUCCCAGCUGCUGAGUGGCCCAGAACCCAGGGCAGCUGUCGCCUGCCAGCUGCACUGCCCACCCUCUCCCCCUGCCGCGGCCCUGGAGGUCCCUCCCCGGGGGUCUGGUGCCACCUCCCUACGUCCAGCACAGAGGCUAAGCCCUCUGCUGACCUCUGGACGUGGGCCUCACAGGGUGCCAGGCGUUCUGUUGUAGGGUUCCUCGGAGACCGCUCUGAUUUUCCAUCCCUCUCCGCGUGGGGGGCCCUCGUGCCGUCCCCUCCACCCGCGUCCACCGUGCGCCCUUCCAGCCCCGUGGGUUCAGGUCCCACGGCCUCCGCCCAUGCGCCCACAUCCUCAUGGCCCCGAGCACCUGCUCUGGAACUGGUCUGUUCCUGCACUGCCUGACGUUUCCUGGGCUCCCCUCCCUUAGCACCCCUACCUUGCUUACCAUCAUCCACGGGACUGCCUGAGGUCUGGUGAGCCCUAUUCAAGGUCUGGCACGACCUAGCCCCCUGAUGUCUUCAGUCCCACGCGGGCAAGUAUUGUCACAGAUUUGUGUGCUUGGUGUAGGGGGUUUCCACUGGGCUCUGCUAGGGGGCCUGAGGCUGGGGGCUACUCCGAGCGGGUCUCCUGGGUCUCCAGCCGGGGCGAUCCUAUGCCCUGUGCACCGUCCCCCACGUCUCACGCCAGCCUCCAGGAACACCUGGCCCAGUCCCAUGGUCGUCGUAGCUGUCUCCGGACUUGCCCCACCACCCGGGGCGGGGGUGGGGGUGGAGGGGGGAAGGCACAGAAGCUCUCUGGUGGGGAACUGCCACUCUACAUCUAAGCAGUGGCUUUUGAGAUGUUCUCAGUGGCUGGAAGAAGGCCAUUGGGGUAAAGGGAAAGGCUUUUUUUUUUUUUUUUUCUGGAGAAGGAGUGAAGAAGCAGUCAUUCACCAAAGAGUUGUUGAAAGGAUCAAUGAACACAUGAAUAUGUGGAUAUUCAUCUGAAUAAAAGAAUAACCUUGUGAGAAUAAAAAACACCG